AUUGAACGCUGGCGGCAUGCCUUACACAUGCAAGUCGAACGGCAGCACGGGUGCUUGCACCUGGUGGCGAGUGGCGAACGGGUGAGUAAUACAUCGGAACAUGUCCUGUAGUGGGGGAUAGCCCGGCGAAAGCCGGAUUAAUACCGCAUACGAUCCACGGAUGAAAGCGGGGGACCUUCGGGCCUCGCGCUAUAGGGUUGGCCAAUGGCUGAUUAGCUAGUUGGUGGGGUAAAGGCCUACCAAGGCGACGAUCAGUAGCUGGUCUGAGAGGACGACCAGCCACACUGGGACUGAGACACGGCCCAGACUCCUACGGGAGGCAGCAGUGGGGAAUUUUGGACAAUGGGCGAAAGCCUGAUCCAGCAAUGCCGCGUGUGUGAAGAAGGCCUUCGGGUUGUAAAGCACUUUUGUCCGGAAAGAAAUCCUUGACUCUAAUACAGUCGGGGGAUGACGGUACCGGAAGAAUAAGCACCGGCUAACUACGUG
rnacentral:rRNA from 1 species